rnacentral:rRNA from 1 species
AUUGAACGCUGGCGGCAUGCCUUACACAUGCAAGUCGAACGGCAGCACGGGUGCUUGCACCUGGUGGCGAGUGGCGAACGGGUGAGUAAUAUAUCGGAACGUACCUUUUUGUGGGGGAUAACGCAGCGAAAGCUGUGCUAAUACCGCAUAAUCCCUAAGGGGGAAAGCGGGGGACCGUAAGGCCUCGCGCAAUUAGAGCGGCCGAUACCUGAUUAGCUAGUUGGUGAGGGAAAGGCUCACCAAGGCAACGAUCAGUAGCUGGUCUGAGAGGACGAUGAGCCACACUGGGACUGAGACACGGCCCAGGCUCCUACGGGAGGCAGCAGUGGGGAAUGUUGGACAAUGGGGGCAACCCUGAUCCAUUAAUGCCGCGUGAGUGAAGAAGGCCUUCGGGUUGUAAAGCUCUUUUGUCAGGGAAGAAACAGCAGCUCUAACACAGUUUGCGAAUGACGGUACCUGAAGAAUAAGCACCGGCUAACUACGUGCCAGCCGCCGCAGUAA